rnacentral:rRNA from 1 species
AUUGAACGCUGGCGGCAGGCCUAACACAUGCAAGUCGAACGAGUGGCGGACGGGUGAGUAAUGUCUGGGAAACUGCCUGAUGGAGGGGGAUAACUACUGGAAACGGUAGAUAAUACCGCAUACCAUCGGAUGUGCCCAGAUGGGAUUAGCUAGUAGGUGGGGUAACGGCGCACCUAGGCGACGAUCCCUAGCUGGUCUGAGAGGAUGACCAGCCACACUGGAACUGAGACACGGUCCAGACUCCUACGGGAGGCAGCAGUGGGGAAUAUUGCACAAUUGGCGCAAGCCUGAUGGAGCCAUGCCGCGUGUAUGAAGAAGGCCUUCGGGUUGUAAAGUACUGUCAGCGGGGAGGCGUUACCCGCACAAGAAGCACCGGCUAACUCCGUGCCAGCAGCCGCGGUAAUAC